UCUCAGGCUUCUCUCUGCUCUGGUAGUAUCAUUAAAUGUAUCCUUAUGAAAAAUAUACCGAAUGUUGAUAUGUUGACCGUCAACCUUAAUGUCACUUGAGGGUUCACCAUCAAUUUUAGUGUUAUUGCAGGUGUUACUAUUAAAUAGUUAGGUGUGAUGUUUAUUUCGUAUAUUAUAUUCGGUAUUACCGUCAAACAAUGGAGCGUCAACUAGGUGCAAUUGUCAACCUGGGUAUAAUUUGUAGUGUUACUCUCAUAUAGUUGAACUAGUUAUCAGUUGUAGCCCCUGAGAUAUUAUCUAUCUCGAUAAUUAUUCAAAGACCGACUUGCUUCGAUAAAAUCAUGCUGUUUACCAUUAUCAAGCCGCAGCAAAAAACAGAACCAUUUAUAAUUCCUGGUAAAACAUAGUGGAAUGGUAAAACAUAGUAGAAAUGGAGGAAUGGGAUAGACACUUUAGGAGGUUAUUAGGGGGAGUGGAAUGGAUGGUGAUCAGAGGGAGGGGAAGAAAUGAGGAAAGGGGAGAGGAGAGGGGAAUAGAAAGGAAGGAGGCAGGUACGAAUCCCGUUGAAAAAACUAGUCAUCUUUUGAAGCUAUCCACGAAUCGAUCCAAUUUCUUGCUUCUUCAUAAGACCGGAAGUGCUAGUCAACCAGGCCAUGUGCCAUUGAUCGAAACAAGUGAUAGUCAGAGGGAGCAACAUCUGAAGAAUACGGCGG